rnacentral:tRNA from 1 species
UGCAACUUAGUUUAAAUAGAACAAUUAAUUUGCAUUUAAUAAGUGAAUUUUUUUUUUCAGUAGCAA